AAACCAGCACCUCAAGUGGUCAGGAGGAUUAUUGGGCCUAAAGCAUCCGUAGCCUGUUCUAUAAGUUUCCGGUUAAAUCCAUUAGCUCAACUAAUGGGCCGCCGAAAAUACUGUGGAACUAGGGAGUGGGAGAGGUAGACGGUACUCGGUAGGAAGGGGUAAAAUCCUUUGAUCUAUUGAGGACCACCUGUGGCGAAGGCGGUCUACCAGAACACGUUCGACGGUGAGGGAUGAAAGCUGGGGGAGCAAACCGGAUUAGAAACCCGGGUAGUCC
rnacentral:rRNA from 1 species